CGCUUCUGCCAGUCUCCUGCAAUCAGCACACCUGCCCAUCAAUCAAGAGAGCUCCUCUUCACUUCAACCACUUCACUCCAACGGCCUGUCCUCCACUCGAUCGCUGCGGGGCCCUGUUGUGUUGAUAUCUUGAGCAGGAAAGCCAUGUUUACCUGCUGUGAUGACAUCCCGUCCUCCCUGGAAGGUCUCGUCAUCGAAAUGGUGCUCCUCGCUCAGCGCAAAAAUCACGUCCACUUUUGCGUUGCUAAAGUACAUUUUGGCGAUGGAAGUUCGGAACAUGACAGUUGAGAGGAGAGAGGUGGACGUGCCUGUAGAGGAACAGGCCCUCUGCACCUUCGUGGCUUUCCAACUCACAGUCAGGCUGAAGUCCCGUCCCUCAGAGGCAGCGAUGUCUCGGCAGACCUCAGCUGUCUUUCUGAGGAUCGCCCUUUGUGUGAUGUCACGGUGAGUGGUGGAAUUCCCAUCAAAUGCAAAGAG